AUUGAACGCUGGCGGCAGGCCUAACACAUGCAAGUCGGGCGCGCGGCGGGCGGGUGGAUAGUGUAUGGGGAUCUGCCUGAUGGCGGGGGAUAACUUCUAGAACCGAUCGAUAAUCCCGCAUACCAUCAUGUGACCCCAUAUGGGAUUCGCUUGUGGGUGGGGUAACGGCUCACCUGGGCGACGAUCCCUAGCUGGUCUGAGAGGAUGAUCAGCCACACUGGGACUGAGACACGGCCCAGACUCCUACGGGAGGCAGCAGUGGGGAAUAUUGCACAAUGGGCGCAAGCCUGAUGCAGCCAUGCCGCGUGUAUGAAGAAGGCCGUAGGGUUGUAAAGUACUUUCAGUCGGGAGGCGUUACCGACAGAAGAAGCACCGGCUAACUCCGUGCCAGCAGCCGCGGUAAUAC
rnacentral:rRNA from 1 species